UGAUGGGAUCAGGACGGGGUUCUGAUGGGAUCAGGAUGGGUUCUGAUGGGAUCAGGACGGGGUUCUGAUGGGAUCAGGAUGGGGUUCUGAUGGGAUCAGGGUGGGUUCUGAUGGGAUCAGGGUGGGUUCUGAUGGGAUCAGGAUGCGUUCUGAUGGGAUCAGGAUGGGUUCUGAUGGGAUCAGGACGGGGUUCUGAUGGGAUCAGGGUGGGCUCUGACGGGAUCAGGACGGGGUUCUGAUGGGAUCAGGGUGGGUUCUGAUGGGAUCAGGAUGGGUUCUGAUGGG